UAAUACGGAGGAUGCAAGCGUUAUCCGGAUUCAUUGGGUUUAAAGGGUGCGUAGGCGGAAUAAUAAGUCAGUGGUGAAAGCCUGCGGCUUAACCGUAGAAUUGCCGUUGAUACUGUUAUUCUUGAGUAUAGUUGAAGUGGGCGGAAUGUGUAAUGUAGCGGUGAAAUGCUUAGAUAUUACACAGAACACCAAUUGCGAAGGCAGCUCGCUAAACUGUUACUGACGCUGAGGCACGAAAGCGUGGGGAGCAAACAGGAUUAGAUACCCUGGUAGUCCACGCCCUAAACGAUGAUUACUCGACAUACGCGAUACACAGUGUGUGUCUGAGCGAAAGCAUUAAGUAAUCCACCUGGGAAGUACGUCCGCAAGGAUGAAACUCAAAUGAAUUGACGG
rnacentral:rRNA from 1 species